ACGGAAGGCAGCAGUGGGGAAUAUUGCACAAUGGGCGAAAGCCUGAUGCAGCGACGCCGCGUGAGUGAAGAAGUAUCUCGGUAUGUAAAGCUCUAUCAGCAGGGAAGAAAAUGACGGUACCUGACUAAGAAGCCCCGGCUAACUACGUGCCAGCAGCCGCGGUAAUACGUAGGGGGCAAGCGUUAUCCGGAUUUACUGGGUGUAAAGGGAGCGUAGACGGUUUGGCAAGUCUGAAGUGAAAUGCGGGGGCUCAACUCCUGAACUGCUUUGGAAACUGUCGAACUAGAGUGCAGGAGAGGUAAGUGGAAUUCCUAGUGUAGCGGUGAAAUGCGUAGAUAUUAGGAGGGACACCAGUGGCGAAGGCGGCUUACUGGACUGUAACUGACGUUGAGGCUCGAAAGCGUGGGGAGCAAACAGGAUUAGAUACCCUGGUA
rnacentral:rRNA from 1 species